GAGACAGCAGUACCGCGGUAAUACGUAGGUGGCAAGCAUUGUCCGGAAUUAUUGGGCGUAAAGGGCUCGCAGGCGGUUUCUUAAGUCUGAUGUGAAAGCCCCCGGCUCAACCGGGGAGGGUCAUUGGAAACUGGGAAACUUGAGUGCAGAAGAGGAGAGUGGAAUUCCACGUGUAGCGGUGAAAUGCGUAGAGACGUGGAGGAACACCAGUGGCGAAGGCGACUCUCUGGUCUGUAACUGACGCUGAGGAGCGAAAGCGUGGGGAGCGAACAGGAUUAGAUACCCCGGUAGUCCCUGUCUCUUAUACA
rnacentral:rRNA from 1 species